GUAAACGCGCUCGCUGUAAGCGUAAAGGGCGGAGUUUUAUGCGUAAAUGGGACGGAGGACAUGAUUUACUCUUAUAUCCUGACGCAUACGAUUUCGUCUUGACGGAUAAACUGAAGCUCUGCGUUGGAGUAUUAGCUCUUUACGCCUAUAUUGACGCAUAUUGUUUUUCAAUUGUUAUACGGGCCCUGCCUUCUGAGAACACGUGCAUGGUUCCGUGUGGAAAGCGUCCUUCCUUUCGCUUGGUUAACGGUCACUCUGGCUUCUGGCGUCUCAUAUUAUCCAUUUACGCUUAUAUUGACGCUUAUUGUUUUUCAAUUGUUAUACGGGCCCUGCCUUCUGAGAACACGUGCAUGGUUCCGUGUGCAAAGCGUCUUUUCUUUCGCUUCGUUAACGGUCACUCUGGCUUCUGGCGUCUCACGGUCUCACAUCAUGCACGGUCUAACAAAUGAAGAGAUGGCAUCGAACGAGACAACGUCGCACGAUAUGUGGGCAAGGCACGCGGACGACGCUACUUGAAAAGUUGUGAUUCUCCAGGCUAUCUCCGCGCUACAAAUUCGUAUGCGUACGCCCAUUGUACACCAGCAUCCCAAGGAACAGGACACGACAUGCUCUUCGUAGCCAUGCUGGACUGCAUAAUACCACGCAUGCACCCUCAACUGCGUUAGGUGGUGCUCCUAAAAUUUCUACUGUGCGACACAUUCUGGGAAGAAAUACACAAGACGCUACUCCCUCACGCAUGUACAACCAGUACAACUCACCUGUAAAGAUGACUUGUAAGUUGUGACUGCUUCAUGAGUAAUGAUGCAUUGCUCGAUAAAUGCAACGUCUGCAAUACACUGAACUAUAGGGUGUUCAAAAUUAAGCUUUCACGAGCGCUACGCAAACACAGCGAUGACAGGAAACCGGAUGAUAACUUUACGCUACUUGUGUAAGAAACAGCUGGUGCUAAUUAUGUAGAACCUGUUUCUUACUCAAGGAACAGAAAAAUAGCAGCCAGUUUUCUUUUGUUCGCCUAUUUAUAAAGUGCUAGUGAAAGCUUAAUUUUGAACACCCUGUAUACUUCAGUUAUUAUACGGUGAUUUCACGCCGGAUCAUGCACGGUGGUGAAUUUUUUUUCUUUCAAACAUAUAUUAAAACCUCGUCCUUAGGAGGCAUAUUGGCGCUGAAAG